GCGGGAGUAGCUCAGUUGAUAGAGCAUUAGCCUUCCAAGCUGAGGGUCGCGGGUUUGAGCCCCGUCUCCCGCU
rnacentral:tRNA from 1 species